rnacentral:rRNA from 1 species
AUUGAACGCUGGCGGCAGGCCCAACACAUGCAAGUCGAACGAGUGGCGGACGGGUGAGUAAUUUUUGGGAAACUGCCUGAUGGUGGGGGUUAACUACUGGAAACGGGAGCUAAUACCGUAUUCCUUCAGAUGUGCACAGAUGGGAUGAGCUUGUUGGUGGGGUAACGGCUCACCAAGGCGACGAUCCCUAGCUGGUCGGAGAGGAUGACCAGCCACAGUGGAACGGGGACACGGGCCAGAGUCUUAGGGGAGGCAGCGAAGGGGAUUGUUGCACGAUGUGCGCAAACGUGCAGCUGCGAGGCCGCGUGUAUGGUGAGGGCCUGCGGGUUGUAAGGUACUUUCAACUAGGAGACGUUGCCCGCAGAAGAAGCACCCGCUAACACCGUGCCAGCAGCCGCGGUAAUUC